rnacentral:rRNA from 1 species
CCUACGGGUGGCAGCAGUGGGGAAUAUUGCACAAUGGGGGAAACCCUGAUGCAGCGACGCCGCGUGAGUGAAGAAGUAUUUCGGUAUGUAAAGCUCUAUCAGCAGGGAAGAAAAAAGACGGUACCUGACUAAGAAGCCCCGGCUAACUACGUGCCAGCAGCCGCGGUAAUACGUAGGGGGCAAGCGUUAUCCGGAUUUACUGGGUGAAAAGGGAGCGUAGACGGAGAAGCAAGUCUGAAGUGAAAGCCCGUGGCUUAACCACGGGACUGCUUUGGAAACUGUUUGACUAGAGUGCUGGAGGGGUAAGGGGAAUUCUAAGUGUAGCGGUGAAAUGGGUGAAUAUAAGGGGGAA